rnacentral:rRNA from 1 species
CCUACGGGAGGCAGCAGUGAGGAAUAUUGGUCAAUGGGCGGGAGCCUGAACCAGCCAAGUCGCGUGAGGGAAGACGGUCCUAUGGAUUGUAAACCUCUUUAGGCGGGGAGCAAUGCCGGGCACGCGUGCCCGGAGGGAGAGUACCCGCAGAAUAAGCAUCGGCUAACUCCGUGCCAGCAGCCGCGGUAAUACGGAGGAUGCGAGCGUUAUACGGAUUUUUUGGGUUUAAAGGGUUCGUAGGCGGAUUUUUAAGUCAGCGGUAAAAUGUCCGGGCUCAACCCGGGCCGGCCGUUGAAACUGGGGAUCUUGAGUGGGCGAGAAGUAUGCGGAAUGCGUGGUGUAGCGGUGAAAUGCAUAGAUAUCACGCAGAACUCCGAUUGCGAAGGCAGCAUACCGGCGCCCGACUGACGCUGAGGCACGAAAGCGUGGGGAUCGAACAGGAUUAGAUACCCUAGUAGUC